UCCAUCGCAAGGUGGGAUCUGAAGGAAGCCGGCGGCAAAUUCCCGGCCUAACGGACAGAAACUACAUACAAGGCCAAAGUUGCCGAGAUGAGGUUGCAACACAAACCAAAGUCUUAUACUGCUCGGAGGCAACAUGGUAGAUGUAGCAGGUAUGUGGGAAGAAAGUUAUCGCU
rnacentral:ncRNA from 1 species